CCGAGACAGUACAUACAGUAAUGUUACAUUUGAGCUCAUACAAAGUUCAUUCAUCUUUGGAGGCCUCAGAAUUAUUAAUGCAAAAGUUUUUGACAAGUACAAGAAGGAUGACUGACCAAAGUUAUGUUUCAAGUAUAAUAUUUUAACGAGAGCAAUUAUUCUUCACUAUACUCCGCACUAUAAUCAGGAGGUGAAACGUGAUCUUUUCAAGCUUGCGUCAGAACCAGGAGAUCGCGUCUGUCAGUCCUGAGAGAUGAACAAAUUGUCGACAUCCAGCAGCCUUGACCUGUCAGAUCAACAAAACACCUCGUUGAAACGAGUUAUGGAGAGAGAUUAUUAUAUUUCAACGCAACGUAUCCUCUGAAUAAUUAAAUUAUUUACACUUUA